CCUACGGGGGGCAGCAGUGGGGAAUAUUGCGCAAUGGGGGGAACCCUGACGCAGCCAUGCCGCGUGAAUGAAGAAGGCCUUCGGGUUGUACAGUUCUUUCGGUAUUGAGGAAGGGAUGUGUGUUAAUAACAUACAUUAUUGACGUUAAAUACAGAAGAAGCACCGGCUAACUCCGUGCCAGCAGCCGCGGUAAUACGGAGGGUGCGAGCGUUAAUCGGAAUAACUGGGCGUAAAGGGCACGCAGGCGGUUAUUUAAGUGAGGUGUGAAAGCCCCGGGCUUAACCUGGGAAUUUCAUUUCAGACUGGGGAACUAGAGUACUUUAGGGAGGGGUAGAAUUCCACGUGGUGCUGUGAAAUGUGUAGAGAGGUGGAGGAAUACCGAAGGCGAGGGCAGCCCCUUGGGAAUGUACUGACGCUCAUGUGCGAAAGCGUGGGGAGCAAACAGGAGUAGAUACCCCUGUAGUC
rnacentral:rRNA from 1 species